CGGGCGGUGCGGUGCUGUGGGUGCUGGGAGGGCUCUGUGCGGCUCUGGGCCCACCCGAGCUCUGUCCCUGCAGAAAUAUUACCCGCCGGACUUCGAU